rnacentral:misc_RNA from 1 species
AACCAUUCUCACCUGCGGCUAGACCUGCGGAGGGAUCAUUACCGAGUUUACAACUCCCAAACCCCUGUGAACAUACCUAUAUGUUGCCUCGGCGGAUCAGCCCGCGCCCCGUAAAACGGGACGGCCCGCCGCAGGAUCCACAAACUCUGUUUUUAUUGUAACUUCUGAGUAACAAAACAAAUAAAUCAAAACUUUCAACAAUGGAUCU